UACGUAGGGGCCGAGCGUUGUCCGGAGUUAUUGGGCGUAAAGCGCGCGCAGGCGGCCUCGCGCGCCCGACGUGAAAGCCCCCGGCUUAACCGGGGAGAGUCGUUGGGGACGGCGGGGCUUGAGGGCGGGAGAGGUCGGUGGAAUUCCCGGUGUAGUGGUGAAAUGCGUAGAGAUCGGGAAGAACACCCGUGGCGAAGGCGGCCAGCUGGGACACACCUGACGCUGAGGCACGAAGGCGUGGGGAGCGAACGGG
rnacentral:rRNA from 1 species